rnacentral:rRNA from 1 species
AUUGAACGCUGGCGGCAUGCCUUACACAUGCAAGUCGAACGGUAACAGGUCUUCGGAUGCUGACGAGUGGCGAACGGGUGAGUAAUACAUCGGAACGUGCCCAAUCGUGGGGGAUAGCUCGGCGAAAGCCGGAUUAAUACCGCAUACGAUCUACGGAUGAAAGCAGGGGAUCGCAAGACCUUGCGCGAAUGGAGCGGCCGAUGGCAGAUUAGGUAGUUGGUGGGGUAAAGGCUCACCAAGCCGACGAUCUGUAGCUGGUCUGAGAGGACGACCAGCCACACUGGGACUGAGAUCCGGCCCAGACUCCUACGGGAGGCAGCAGUGUGGAAUGUUGGACAAUGGGCGCAAGCCUGAUCCAGCAAUGCCGCGUGCAGGAUGAAGGCCUUCGGGUUGUAAACUGCUUUUGUACGGAACGAAAAGGCUCUGGUUAAUACCUGGGGCUCAUGACGGUACCGUAAGAAUAAGCACCGGCUAACUACGUGCCAGCCGCCGCAGUAAAAC